AGUAGAUAAGUAGUAUUGUCCUUUGUGCACGUCUUUUCAUUGUAUCUGUUUUAGUUUUAAAUUA